UCCGGUUAAUACUCUUUGUUCUUUUUCAUCUUUUAUUCAAAAACAGUUUGAUUCCCCUGCCAUCUUUUGUUUUUCUUUCUUUUUUUUUCUUACUUGGUUUAUGCUUAACUCAACAUUUCUCUUAAUGGUGUUAAUAUUUUGAUGGAGAAAAAUAUUAUUUAUAAAUGACAUUUUUUGUUUCAUAAAUCCAUCAAUUCAUC
rnacentral:lncRNA from 1 species